rnacentral:rRNA from 1 species
CACGUAGGGGACGAGCGUUGUCCGGAUUCAUUGGGCGUAAAGCGCGCGUAGGCGGCUCGGAAAGUCGGUCGUGAAAUGCCGGGGCUCAACCCCGGGACUGCGUCCGAUACUCCCGAGCUGGAGGCAGGUAGGGGAGAUCGGAAUUCCUGGUGUAGCGGUGAAAUGCGCAGAUAUCAGGAGGAACACCCGUGGCGAAGGCGGCUCUCUGGAACGCAACUGACGCUGAGACGCGAAAGCGUGGGGAGCAAACAGG